rnacentral:lncRNA from 1 species
CUGAGUCCCGCAUCUGCUUCUUAGAAGGUGAGGGGCACUGGCAGGCUGGGGAAGCUGGGCCGAGCAGGGAAAAUGGGUCCUGGGUGAGAGGGCAGCCUCGGUCAGAAGAGUUUCCUGGGCCAGGACUGGCCAUGGGGAAGGGUAGGGUUGGGACAAGAGUCGGGGGCCCUCUUCCCUCAUGGCUGCUCUUUCAGGUAUCUGGAGCAACCUGUAUGCAGCCAACCUCCAGGACAGCUUAUACUGGGCCUCAGAGCCCAGCCAGUUCUGGGACCACUGGGUCAGGAACCAGGCCAACCUGGACAAGGAGCAGGUCCCCCUUCUGAAGAUAGAAGAACCACCCUCAACAGCCGGCAGGAUAGCUGAGUUUUUCACCAAUCUUCUGACGUGGCGUCCACUGGCCCAGGCCACACAUAAUUUCCUGCGUGGCCUCCAUUUCCACAAAGACUACUUUCAGCAUCCUCACUUCUCCACAUGGAAAGCUACCACUCUGGAUGGGCUCCCCAACCAGCUGACACCCUCAGAGCCCCACUUGUGCCUGCUGGAUGUUGGCUACCUCCUCAAUACCAGCUGCCUGCCCCUCCUGCAGCCCACUCGGGACGUGGACCUCAUCCUGUCAUUGGACUACAACCUCCACGGAGCCUUCCAGGUUGGGAAGGGUGGGCAGCCCCCCAGGGAGGCGGUGGGUGGCCCCUGUCCCCUGAAGAGAGGGGCUUCGGAGUCCAGUGUCUGGUUCAGCUUCCUUUAGGAGCUGUGACUGGGACACUGGAAUCUUAAUUUGCCACCAGAGGAGCUCAUUCUUUUCCGGAAGUUGGGAAGCUGGCGAGGUUCUCCUGGUAUCUGGUAGCUGGGUCCCCUUUACUGACCUGCGAGGUGUGGUCCUGGGCCUCUGGGCCCACCUGCUGAGUCUGCUUUGGCUCCCAGUGUCAGAACUGGAAUGCUGGGAGUAACCCGGCUCCGUCUAGCCCCAGAGGAGCUGCCACCGAGGCCUGUCAGGCGUGGAGAGUUUUUUCCAACGACUGGCUUCGUAGGCCCCACUGGAGACCGUUUUGGCAUUUGAGCCCCAGGUCCUGUGCAUCUUACGUCAGCCCCAGUGUUGAGGAUGCCAGGGGCCCUGUCCCUCUGAAGCCCCUUCUGCCUGCCCUGCAGCAGUUGCAGCUCCUGGGCCGGUUCUGCC